AGCAGCCGCGGUAAUUCCAGCUCCAAUAGCGUAUAUUAAAGUUGUUGCAGUUAAAAAGCUCGUAGUUGAAUUUCGGGAUUGACGUGAUGGUCGUGCCUUACGGGGUAUGAACUGUUGCUGUUGAUUUCUCACCUUCUGGAGAAACUUGAUGUCCUUAAUUGGGUGUCUUGCGGAUCCAGGACCUUUACCUUGAAAAAUUAGAGUGUUUAAAGCAGGCAUUUUGCUCGAAUACAUUAGCAUGGAAUAAUAGAAUAGGACGGCAUGGUUCUAUUUUGUUGGUUUCUAGGAUCACCGUAAUGAUUAAUAGGGAUAGUUGGGGGCAUUAGUAUUCAAUUGUCAGAGGUGAAAUUCUUGGAUUUAUUGAAGACUAACUACUGCGAAAGCAUUUGCCAAGGAUGUUUUCAUUAAUCAAGAACGAAAGUUAGGGGAUCGAAGACGAUCAGAUACCGUCGUAGUCUUAACCAUAAACUAUGCCGACUAGGAAUCAGACGAUGUUAAUUUUUAAUGUACUCGUUU
rnacentral:misc_RNA from 1 species